GCUUUCAAGAUGGGUUGACAGUCCAAAAAACUCGGAAAGAAGUCCUCGAGAAGACUUCUGGCAAAGACCACGUAUUUCCACACAACAGACACUUCUGACAGCAGAGGUUACAUCACUGAAAAUGUCACUGCGAUAAUAUCUUCUUGUUGUAUCGGCAGCACAACCAGCUUACUUAUGUUGUUGCGAGAAGGUUGAUGCAGGAAUUAUGGCUAACAACAAGUGUUUGAGGUCAUUCAAUUUUACAUGAACCGGUAAAUCCAGCACGUACCCCAUUCAGUUGUGUGUACUAUAUUCCUAACAAGCAAGUCUGAUGGAAGUUGCAUUUAUAUACGUAUACCUCACCGAGCCUAUGGCAUUCUUGCUUGCACUGAGCAUAAAAGAAAAUUAUUCAAAGAAGCCUUCAGCUUCAAGCCCAACUGCAGGUACCGGUACCUAACUAUGAACACAAUCAGAUUUCUUUCCAAAUCAGUGCCCAGACUGCCAAGAUCUUUGCAGACAACAUGUUAUCAAGAGAAUGCAGAUGGAAAAACCUUUGUUGAUAUCCAGAAGGGUGCAUUUUCUGUCUAAUCAUUCAUGUACAAAUGGAACACGUACUAAGUACAGGUACUGUACAAUUUAUGUGCAUGUUUCCUCAGAAAUGGAUGAACUGGUAAAUUCCAUUUGAUUUUUUUCCCAACCAAAGAUACAAGAUGCAGAAUUUUGACUGUCAACUGAUGAUUUCUCAAAAUGUCCACACAUGAAGACUGGAGUAUCCACUCAAGAUGGCACUGCUGACAAUCCAUCCACAACAUUAAUUAAGCCAGUCUUGCUGUAAGGCCCACUGACGCCACUCCCAACUGAACGCCAGUGAAUCAACAUGUGAGUGAUCCCUAUUGUUGCAGGCGGGAAUCACUUUAUGUAGGGUACUCCUGGUGAAGACAGAAGCCACUCUGAUGAAAAUCAAGCCUGGGAUACCAGCCCACGCCAAUCAUAAUCACACCAGGCUGACUGGCAUGACCUUUUUGUCAUGGCCUAAUCAUCAGGUACUGACUUUGAUCGCUGUUAACUUCAAAUACAUGUACAUACAUUGUAGACUAUUCCAACCAGCCAGGAUCAGGCCUGUCAUUAAGCAGCUUAUACUCCCGGAGAAUAACUGUUCCCUGACAAUUAAAAUCAACACACCAGGAGGCCCAACAGUGGACACACAUCCCAGGGAAGAAUACAGUACAUGUAUGGUUCCAGUUUGUUUCAACUGUUCUGAAAUUAAAUACAUGUAACUCAGCCAGUUCUGU